GACGAACGCUGGCGGCGUGCUUAACACAUGCAAGUCGAACGGAAAGGCCCCUUUUGGGGUCCUCGAGUGGCGUACGGGUGAGUAACACGUGAGUAACCUGCCCUUGACUUCGGGAUAACUUCAGGAAACUGGGGCUAAUACCGGAUAGGAAUCCUUGCUGCAUGGUGGGGGUUGGAAAGCUUCGUCGGUUUUGGAUGUACUCGCGGCUUAUCAGCUUGUUGGUGGGGUAGUGGCUUACCAAGGCUUUGACGGGUAGCCGGCCUGAGAGGGCGACCGGCCACAUUGGGACUGAGAUACGGCCCAGACUCCGACGGGUGGCAGAAGUGGGGAAUAUUGCACAAUGGGAGGAAGCCUGAUGCAGCAACGCCGCGUGCGGGAUGACGGCCUUGGGGUUGUAAACCGCUUUCAGCAGGGGCGAAGCUUGUGGUGACGGUACCUGCAGAAGAAGCACCGGCUAACUACGUG
rnacentral:rRNA from 1 species